rnacentral:lncRNA from 1 species
UAAAUAAAUAAAAUUAUCCAUUGCCUUCCCCCUUCCACACCCUUCAACUUUCCUGCCUAGNUCAUCUUCCCAAAAUGAGUUUCUGCUUGCUGAUGGUUUCUUCAAGGGAGCAGUCAGGCUUUAUCUGGUCUGGGACUAAUUGAUUCUUUACACAAAAUGGGUAACAAAUCAGAACUGGGAACAGGACUCUUUGGGAACCAGCUGACCAAAGGACAGGCCCAGUUGCCCAGGCGACAGUCAAGGUCCUGGAUCUAUAGCCCUCUUCUUCUAAAAUGUUGCGAUGGAGCCUGCCAAAACUUGCUGUUCUCCAUAGUGAACCUCUGAUGGGAACAUCUUCCAAAUUCUGCUCUCAGGUGUAAACAAUGGAAUAACUCUUUCUGGUGCCAGACACUGACAGUGGCAACUAAAGUAAGGAGGAACAUAAUGGAUUUUAACGCAUAGUCUUUAGUUUGCUGGUUGGACCACCUGAUUCUACUGAAAGCAAUGGCGCUUGAGUGCUUGGUUCUCUAGUUUCACCUCAUUCUGUUUGCUUUUCGGUCCUCCUCCUGCCUUCUUCACUGGGUCNGUGCACUGGCAUAGCCUUCUGGUUUUCUGAUUUGCAAAAGCCACNGUGGGGGAACCUCGCAGCAACCUGCGAAUAAGUUGGUGAAGGCACUCGAGAGACAGAUGCCAGGACGCCUCGUUUAACCUGCGCGCUCUGUUGGUUCCAAUUGCAUCCUGGAAAGAAAGGGAAGCGCUCCGGAUCACGUAUGCCGUCGAUCCACCGGCCAGCUGCGGCCAAGCUGGUUCCCUUGUUGGAAACCAACAUCCCUGGCCGGUCGCAGUGGCUGCGGGUUAUCCGAUCGUCACGAAAGGUCUGGAACCCUGGGGAAGCCGCUCUCGUUCCUCUCUCCGCCCUGCUUCCCUUUAAAUGACCCCCUCCCCCCCUUGCGCUGAGCGGCCUGCCGUGGCAAGGGGUUGAACGCCGCCCGUCGCAAGGGGCAAGCGCGAAGGAGGAAAGGAAAGCCCAGGAAAAGGCAAAGCCCAGCUUAGCAGCGGCACCUGAAGGAGCCGGACGAGCUCAGCGGCCGCCAGCGCCGAAGGGACGCGUGCGCCUGCUUGGGCGCCCUCGCUCGUGCGCCUCCUUUUGCGGGGCGCGCUGGGGACUUCCGGGCGGGGGAGCGGCGCGCUGUUCCCUUCGGAGCGGGACGUUUCCUCCUCCUCCUCCUCCUCCUCCUCUUCCCCCCGCCCGGGCACCUGUGCCACGAACGAUUGGGAACUUCCUGAGAGACGGACUGCGGCGAGGCGGGAGCGGUUCCCCUUUCUGCUGCGCCGAGCGCCGAGCUCAGCUGCUACGCGCGAUCCUGUGCAGGGGAGCCCACGCUGGAAAGCCCCGUUCCUGUCCGUUUAUCAGCACAACGGCCCUGUGAAGUAGGAUAGACUAAUGCGCAUGGGCUGACCAAGGGCGUUCAGUCCGCUCCCCUGACGCCGUGGGGGAUUCAAACCGACGGACUCCUAGGCCAAACUGCUUCCCGCUGUACUCUGCUACCUCUCCAUAAUUUGCAUUUUUCCAUGUUUGUAUUUCGUAAGGAGUGUAUGUUCUGACUUUUGCGAGGUCUUUCCAUCAUUGCUAUCACAUGAACGUCCAUUCUCAAUUCACUGUAUUUUGUUUUACUCGUGUAAUGGGCCUUUCUGCUGAAUUCUCCCUUGCACACGCACACUGAACACUUUCACACCCCCUUCAAGUG